UCCAACUUUCGUCUUCCUCGAGCAGAGACGCCGAGGUAACGCCGCCGCCUCGCAGCACAAUACCCUGCCCGCCGCCGCGUCGCACCGCCGUUUCGUGCACCAUGGAAGGAUUGGGUUGAGCAGCUCCGUCCAAGUUCCAACCGAGGACCAAAGGUAGCAGCUCCGUCCAAGUUCCAACCGAUCUGGCCGGUCGCUGCUUCGUUCGCCCCUCCUUCCUCAGAUUGGUUCUAGCCGUGUAUCUCUGUCCGGCCGACGGGCUCUUUCUGCCGAGUUCAUGUGUUUGUUAAUAUGCCUGUGAGGUGACGAUCCUGUUAUAGACGCUUAGUCUGUGUUUCUGUUCGUUUGCUUCGCUUACUUUUUAAUGGACGCGUCGUCUUCUGGCUCGUCACGUUCCCGGAGCGCUGCACGCCACCGCGAGCGAGUUUCAGCUCGUGUCGCCUUGUUCCGUGCUGCCUUUGAUCCUCGAUAUAAGCCAUCUCCUGGGGAAAUUGUGGACAGAUCACGGUUUGUUGGCCCUGGCUUUUUCCCUGUUGUCUCGCGUGAAUAUGGCCGAAUCUGCCGUCGCCAACAGUUUAAGCGACUGAGGUGGCUUAGGUGGGCAAAAGCAGAUUGCAGGUACACGAAUAAAGGUCCAUUGGAAAAUAUUUGUUUCUUCUAUUUGUAUAUAGAUAUAAAGUGAAGAAUCCAUAUAUUGUGAAGAACAUUGGGUUUAUUGGAUUACUGUUCUUUCGAUACUAAAUGGCUCCUGCCGAAGGAAAGUACUGAUGAGUCUACUACCUAAAUUUAUCAAGUAUACUGCUUCUACGCCUGCGGUAUUUUAUCUAUGAAGUCAGUUACUCGGCGUUGCUUCAGGAGAUCAUUAGUCUGUGGGAUAUCAAUUGAACGUAAACUUGCUAUUGCUUCCUACAAUGCUGCCCACUUCGUCACACUUCGUAUCACAGGAGUUCUUUUCUCUGGUUUGGUUGUCAAAGUUUAUUCCAGAGCCAACCUUUGUGCCAGCCACUUAUCCAAGCAAGAAAAAAGUUGGAAUGAACAAUCUACAGGGGCAAGUACAACAUCAUAUUAAUCUGUUUUCUUACUGGAGGACGGCUGAGUACAAUUUAGUUCUUUUUUUGUGGAAAACAGACUGAUGAUGAUGGUUAGGGUAAAGAUAAGAUGCAAAAGAAUCGCCGGUGACAUUAUUGUUUGAACAAUUUCAUGCCACACGAGGUUCGUUGAUAAAAUUAUGUGAAGUUUUCCUUGAAUCUACAAUCAUUCGACUUCAUACUGAGCUGCAGGAAUGAGCUUGCACAAUUUUCCCGAACGAAUGGCAAUAUUUCUUUGGUCUGUGAAGGUAAUACCUUUGUGUAUUUAUGUUAAUAUAUUGGCAUAAUUGAUGUUCUAAAGAGGGGUUAGGAUUUAGGAAUGCAGGUUGCAUUUGUUCUAAUAGAGGGCCUAGCUUGACUGUUGCAAUUUUCGAAGAGCUAAUUUACCAUGUCUUCUUAUUUAUCUUGCUCUAAUUAUAUUGGUAUAAUGUAAAGUACAUGGCGUUCCCGUGGGAAUUAACUUGCCUUUUUCUAUCGCCUUACAUAACAUACCUGAAGUAAAGAAAUCAAGCCAUUAGCCUUCUGGUUAAGUAACCUGACUAUUCUUAUCUGAAGGUGCGUGUUCCAUCCUUGCCACUUUGAAUAUCCUUUGCAUGUUUUUUCCAAUAACAUUCAGCUGCCUUUAUUGUUUUGCUGUAAUAAUGCACCAAGGAAUAUGGGCCAUGAUUAUCUGUGCAGAGGUUAUAUGCCAUUAAAUUUUGAGUUCUUUUAUAUUCUCUAUUGCAAGCCAUCCAAGUUAUAUCGUUGCGAGUGCUCGUAGGUCGCCCCAUUAUAAUGUAAUAGUGUUCCAUUUGAUCAGUCUAUUUUCAGUUUGGUGAUGAGCGAGUGUAAUAGAAUUAGGUGGCAUUAAACGUAUUAGUACAGAGUAGACCAAUUUGCAAAUUGUGUUUGCGAGAUUUAUUGCUUUGAAUAAAAUUUACAGCCGAAAAAAUUAAAUAAUAUUUUGUGUGGAGAGGAUGAGUUAGGAAGCUAUGGUUGUAAAAACACAUAUCUGAGACUACGGUAGUCUAAAAUAAAUAUUGAGGAUUUUGUGUUUUUACUAUCCUAUUCUUCUCUUAUCCACAUCUCUUAGCCAACAGCUCAUCCAGCUCAUCCACCGACCCGUGAAUCUCCUCCAUCGUUGCCCCGAACUCCUUUGCUUGACGUCUGACCUUGUCGUUUUCUUCAUGCAGGCUCUCCAUUGUCCGUGGGUUAUUUCUACAGCACAAGCCCAUCUUGGCAUGACAGGGAGGGGUCUAGAUAGAAGAAGGAAAGGCAUGAGUAUGAUGAGAGGAGGAGGUCGCACCACAUGUCAGCGCUGAAGAAGUUGACUUUGUUACUUUGUGGGAUCCUGCGGCAAACCAAUCCAUGUAAGCAGAAGAGGUGAAAGCCUACUAGGAGCUUGACUUGUGUGGAAUAGUUGAUAGAUAUCUGAAACCAAGCUGAAUGAGAGCAAAGGUAAGCAGAUUUGCAUGAAAGAUGCGUGAACCAGAAAAUGCAAGAAGCAGAACUCAUCUAUUUAGCUUAAAUGUGAUGGCUAUCUAGGUGAAUCACUUUGUGCCUAUGUGCAGAUUAGUUCAUAGAAUCAAAUUUUAUUGCAGGCACGCUACACAGCUGAAAAAUCAAUUGGCUGCAAACUAAGUUUCUCUUUGGUGUUUAAGAAGCAAACUCUUAGAAAUAGCUCAGUGGACAAGAGCUAUAUCAAAGUUAGCAAAGGCAUCCAUAUAUUGCCAGUUUUGUUUUUGUUCUACACUGUCAUUUGUGUAUUGUGGAAAUAAGGAGUUGUGUUUUCUCUAUGCGUGUUGUAGAUGACCGGAUUCUGGAUUUGCUUUAUUGUGGGGUUACCAAGUGA